UCAGUUGCCAUCCAAACGGACGUAUCAUCCGGUUAGCGAAGACGUUCCACGCGUAUUAUGUCAAACUUGUCAGAAAGGAGUCCGGGCCGCUUACAAGCUCGUGUCCAGUUUACGAAGUAGUACUAGCAAGAAAAGAUGACUGCCAACUCUUUCUCUGUACCAGAGCACCAGUGAAGUACGUCUCGGAUUGUUGCGCAAUUGUCUUGUAUGGCUCGAUGGGGAAUACUACAACUCUGGUCUGGGUGAUUGAUUGAUCCGAUUACUUUCUAUAGACGAUUUGUUAGAGCUUUUGUGAUUAUUUUGUAGCUGGUAUUCAGAAGGCUGAUGGGACGCCAGUUCUUGAGAUCGUUUCGAUUCCCUUUCUUAUAUAUGAUAUGAAUGAUUCCGGUUCUCUGGCUAUACGAAAGAGAGGUCUUUUCUUCGACUGUGUUAACCAUUUGCACAAAAUCAUCUCUAAGCAGUGACCAGAAAGCUCUAUAAAAUUCUGUCGUACGGUCAUCCAUGCCAGGAGACUUGCCUGCGUGUAGUGUUUUGAGAGACUCUGUACACUCUUCCAGUGUUAACGGACCUUCACAUGUAAACUGUCUGUGCAUGUUAAUUGUUUGUUGAGAUGAGACAGAGCUUGCAAACUAGUUUUGUCGUUUAUUGGUUGCUCUCAGUAGAAGUUGGUAUAAAACGUUUGA